UGAACUAAAUAAAAUGUGUGUUGAAGCAAUAAAACACCUCACAUGAAAACUAUCUCCUCCACCACACCGGAGGUCGCCUCCGACGGCGGAAGAGAGCUAAUCCAUGAAACCAUAACAUCAUCAGAUUUGUAUUAUGAUGCUCUCUCCAUAUCCCAUACACAUUUUAACUAAUUCAAAGCCUAAGACCUAAACCGAGUCUAUAUCGUCCGAGAACCCUAGGUACAAAUUGAUAAAUUAAAUGAAAAACUCGGGGAAGUAGAGCUUAUGCUGUUAGAGAUGAUGAACAUGACGAUGAAAUUCCGUAGGGUAUGCAAAAGCGUAAUGAUGGAACAAAGCCGGAACAAAGAUGACUUGUACUUGAAGGAAAUGGUGAAGGAAAAAUCAAAAGGACAUGUGGAAAUUUGAAGAUUCAAGCAACAAAUAUGACUCGGUGGAGAAGCAAUGCAAGAAAUAUGGUUUAGGACAGUCAAAAUUGGUUAGUUGACUUUGGUCAACUGAUUGACCAAAAGUCAACCGUUGACCAAAAAUCAACUUUAGAUGGAAAAAUGCAUUUUUGUGUGAAAUGAUUUGUAAUGUAAUGACUUUGAUGUAUUGUUAUUAAUUUUGUAAUAACAAUGAAUUUGUAUGCAAAAUGAGCUUGGAUUUGAA